rnacentral:ncRNA from 1 species
UUUAGGGGUGUUCGUUUUUACGAGCUGAGAAUAACCCUUCGAACCUGAUACAGUUCAUACUGUCGUAGGGAAAAGUAGAA